CCUACGGGAGGCAGCAGUGAGGAAUAUUGGUCAAUGGGAGAGAUCCUGAACCAGCCAAGCCGCGUGAGGGAAGACGGCCCUAUGGGUUGUAAACCUCUUUUGUCGGCGCACAAAACCCGGGACGUGUCCCGGCCUGCGUGUAUCCGAAGAAAAAGCAUCGGCUAACUCCGUGCCAGCAGCCGCGGUAAUACGGAGGAUGCGAGCGUUAUCCGGAUUUAUUGGGUUUAAAGGGUGCGUAGGCGGUCCGUUAAGUCAGCGGUAAAAUUGCGGGGCUCAACCCCGGCGAGCCGGGGAAACUGGCAGACGUGAGUUGGCGAGAAGUACGCGGAAUGCGCGGGGGAGCGGUGAAAUGCAUAG
rnacentral:rRNA from 1 species